ACGGAUAUUGGUGCAAAUGCUUUCCAAAAUCUUUCCAGCUUAAGAAACAUGGACCUGAAUAGAAAUUCUAUAUCAGUUAUUGGAAAUACAACAUUCGCUGGUUUACCGAAUUUGUUCAUGCUGGAUUUACAAAUUAAUAGUAUAGCAGUAAUACAGCCAAAUUCGUUUUCUCAUUUAACAAAUUUGGUUAUUUUGAAAUUAUCCGACAAUAGAAUAAGUGAUGUGAAAAAGGUCUAUUUCAAUGGCUUAGACAAUAUACAGGAAAUAUGGAUGACUGGAAAUAAAUUAACAUUUGUUGAAGAAGGAGCGUUUCAAGAUAUGACAAACUUAACUGUUCUUACUCUUGACGUAUAUUGUGACUGCAACAUAAAGCCUUUCCGGAAUUGGCUAAACUUGGUCGAAAGGUAUGAGUCAUCUGUAAAAUGUAUUGAUCUAGAUGAUGCUCUUCUUACAAGUUUGCCUUCCUGUUUUUUCGACAAAUGCAAUGGACCUCAAUGUUCAACGGUAGUAUGCAACCAGAGCAUGUGCUAUUAUAACUAUACAGGAGAUGUCAUAUGCCGGAACGAACAAGACCUCCAAUGCACUGGUAAAUACAUUUAACUGUUAUUCAAAUCCUUUACUAUUUAAGUUGUUAUGUAUAUAAGGACAAUUGUAGUUUUAAAGUUUUAUGUCAGAAUACAAAAUAUCAAGCUAGUAAAACCGAAUUUAAAACUAUAAAAAUGUGUCAAAUAUUGGGGUGCUAAAACGUUUGUAAGCAAAUGUUUUUAUUAUAUCUCCUUUUUUCUAUUUUGGUGCACACAAAAUAAAAAAAUAAGUACACAUAUGACGUACAUUUUGGAAAGAAUUCACCUUCUACAAAUAUAAAUUAUGUUAUAUUUCAAUCUAUAUUCAUUAUAACUAUUUACGUUUUAUGUACAUGCUUGGUGAUUGGUGCUUGCUAGUUGUUGUAGAUUUAUGUUUAAUUAACUCAUGCAUAGUUGUAGUAUUAGAGUUAUACAUGUGCUUCAUUAACGAUAAAGGCUGCGUUUGUAUGAUGAAAGUAUAUUUUGUUGUAUUGAUUGUAUCAGUUAUGAUUAUUUAUGACGUCUUGUUUAUUUUACUUUGUUGCUGUUAUUGAAUAAUCGGCCGUAAAUAUUUUAAAUAAUUUAUGUUAUUCAAUAUAAUUUUAGAGAUAAACAAGUACAAGAACUACAUGAAAAACAAAUGCAAACUGAAUAUUUCUAAUUUACAAUUUAUUUUCAUGACCUAUUAUCCGUUCAAAUUCUUAACAAUGUUUAGAUAAGAUCUUACAAUAAUUAGAUUAUUGCUACUGAACUUUUAAAAUCUAGAAUGAUAUAGUUUUUAUUUUGAUAGAUCGUCAAAUCAAUAACCGAUUAUGUUUUGUUCGUAUAUAAUCCUUUAUGUGAAGCUAAAUAUAUGUACCUAGAAUACUAAUUUCUCAUUGAUUCUUUUUUGUAAACAUUAAGUAUAAAGAUCCCAAUUUUGUUAUUACUGAGGUAUUUUGUUAAAUAUGAAAUUGAUAAUUAUUCAAUUUGCUAAAUAUCAAUUUUUGUAUGAUUAAUUGGAUAUUUUUUUCUUUUCAGUCCAUAACGCCACUGUCGGAAAUAUGUUAGCGAUGAAUCAAAACAUUAGAAUUAUGUUUUUUUCUGGUUCCUAUGAUUUGUCCUUACAAUGUUUGUCCUGUUUUACCAAAUCGAUAAACAGAGAGAAACCUACCAAUAUAACACAAAACCCAUUACAAACUUUGAUAUAUUUAAAUGAUUUCUUAACAAGCAGAACGAUUGAUUAAAUGUUGAUAACGUAACGUCUAGUGGUAUAAAUAAAAUCAAUAUGCUUGACGAGAAAAAACAAAACUGUCAAUACAGUUCAGGUAUGAUCAUAAUUAUAUACACUUAUGAAUACAUUGGAUUAUAAAAGAAAACAUGAGUACAAAUCCCUUCGGUCUCAUAACAACAGAUGAAGAUUCAUACUAUACUGAAACCACCAAGUAUAUAAUUCACUUUCAGUCUGAAAAUUGAUUAAAAAAAGGGAAAGCAAAAACUCAUAAAAUAUAUUUAAUUGAUUUUCCUUGUCUUUAGGGACACAACUAUUACACAUUAUGUAGUUUGAAGAUACACAUUAUUAAAGCAGUCAUAAUACCACUUAGUUACACUUUUAUUGAUACUAUCUCAUAUUCUAGUUUCGUUAAAAAUGUAAAAAAGUUGAAGUUUAUAUUGAUUUUCAUCGAAUCUUUUGUAGGUACUGAUUAUUGUGUUUGUAGACCUGCACAUACUAUGACGUAUUUGAUAUGUGUGUAGAAUCAAGGCUUACAUGGCAAACAGACAAACGAUAAAAAUGAUAAAAAACAGACAAAAAUGGACAACGAAACAUCUGAUAAAAAAGGAUGGUUGCAGGUACAAAAAAAAAAACAGAAAUGACUAGGAAAUGCAAUAAGACAAUGUAUUACAAUAAGUGUUUAAAGCAGCUUCAUUGAAUGAAUAGCGAAAUGAAAUCUUAUUCACAGAUAUUAUCAUUGAUUUCAUUAUAUAUGUAAAUCAUUAUUAUAUUAAUUUGAUACAGAGACAUGUUAAGUACUCAUGAUUUAAAUAAUGUGUGUUCAAAUUGCUUGUGCACGAGUAAGUAAAUGUGUGCCAAUUGGAAACUUCAAGGGGAGACACUUAAUGCUUCUGAUCAUCAAUGAUUCUACUGUACCUAAGAUCAAUCCAUUUCCCAAUGGCAAUUGAGAAAACAAUGAAUUCGACAAAAAACACAAACCAUUCAGUACAUUGCAUACUAUACAUAGUGCUCUGAUAGAUAGUUCGAUGUUUUAAUUGUUACCUGAUACACAUGUUGUAAGCUAUCUUUACAUAAUAAAUACACUAAACUCAUACAUAGUAAAUUGUUGAGCAACCUUAAGUCGACCCGAUUUUACAUUUGUAUUUUUUUCAAUCAUUAAGUAAAACUGAUACAUGUGUAUUGUUUUUUUUUCCUUUAUUACAAAUUUAAUGUAUUUUG